CUAAACUGAAUGCUGGGAGGAAGAAGGCGGAGUCAGGGAAAAGCUAUGGAGCUGCUGCUGGAGACAGAUGUGCCGAAACUUUGCUGGUAGGCCAACACCUCAUGGAGAGGUACAGAUUAAUGUAGAUGAGUUAAAUUAAGAUGUAAGAGUUAGCCAAUAAGAAGCUAGAGCUAAUGGGUCAAACAGUGAUUUAAUUAAUACAGUUUUAUGUAAUUAUUUCAGGUCUGAGCUGCUGGGCGGCCUGGAAACAAACUAACGGCCUCCUUACAACAUCGAAGCUCAUGCUGCAUUCUUUUAUAUCUAACUGCAAAAAUUCCUGCAUAACUGUGUGACAUCAGCCAUCAUUCUGAACGGGCAAGAUGGCAUCUGAUCUAAAUGCCCAGAACAGACCAUGGAGCAAUACCAUGGUUAAGUGUAAAUGUGGAAGAACUAUUGAUAUCUGCCACCUAACCCUGGGUUGGAAAUCCCUUAGCAAACGGCUUCUCUGUUCAUCCAUGUCCCUAUCUGUCAAUAAAACCUUCUCCUUCUCCUGAAGCUGUUGAGCAUCAGCGAGGCAAUGAAUAGCAGUGCUCGGUCAAUCACUUAGUUCUUAGGGACAUGGUGGUCAGAGUUAACUGAGGAAAACACUAAGAUCACAUUAUCGUUAACCUCUGUGGGCUUUUCCAUUCGCCCAAUCACUUGGUUUGCAUUUAUAUGGGAACCAUUGAGUCCUAAAAGAGAGCCCUGACUCCUAAGGAUGACAGACUAGCAUCUAAUGCAAUGUGCACAGCACAAAUAUUUAAUAUCUGGAAAGGGUCUUGUUGUGUAGCCUAGACUGGCCUUGAACCCACGAUCCUCUUACUUUUAUCACCCAUCUCUUAAAUGCUGUGGUUAGAGGGGUACACCACCACAUCUGGCUCAUGAAUGCUAGACCUCCCUGGUCUCUAGUAUUGACUGGUAAUAUGUCCCCAUCAGCUUCCUAGUGCAGACUUAAGCAUUUUGCGGGCAUCAGUCACUGGAGCUUUGGGAAGGGCCAUUUGGUACUGUCUCCCUACUGCUUUGAAUCUUAGUGACACACUUUUUCUCCUGGGAUAGACAGUUCAUCAUGGUCCCAGAUUAGCUGACCUUAUACAAAUUCCUCCCUCCUCUCAAACAGUUCUCCAUUCUAUCCCUGUUUCUCUUCGAGGUCUUGCUACCACCUGACGCUUAUACAUGGUUUUCUGUCUGUUUGGAAUACACAUUCCUUCACUGACUUAUUUAUUCCAAAGUUUCUUCAGAUUUCAGCCUGAGUCAUGCUUACAGCAAGGAAGUGUUGCCCAUCAAUCUAAUAUUGCAUGUGCUCUUGCAAGGAACGUCUGUCUUUUGGAUAAUCUUUAUAGACAGAGUUUUAAAUUUAGUAAUUCUAGCUUGCACCAGAGUCUUACGUCUGUGUGAUCGUUUGACUGCUGUAUAUCUCCUGCAUUGCCUUGUGUGGUCCCUAUGGUCAAGGACCCCCUUCCACCUGUCACCUAUGCCGGUAGCAAAUAAACGAUCCACUUCUUAAGACCUUUGACCCAACUCUGCCCUGAAAACCCUGGGCCUCCCAACCAUUCAGACACCAAAGGAGCUGUGUUUGGCACAGCAGAGCUCUUCAGAAGCCCUGUCCCAGCACUCUGGCUGGUGCAUAUGUCCUGAUAUACCUCCCCCAUUCUGAACUAUUUUUAUUAUAACAUGGUAGAACCUUUACUGGGUGAAGUAAGUGCUCCUUGUAAAGACACAUGCAGGUGUCUCUCUUGCAUCUGAAACACAGCAGAGUCCAGCUGGGACCAGAGAUGAGGCUUGGGCUGUCGGAGCCCUGAACUUCAAGGCCAGUACAGGCCUUAUCCAUAGGGGACUUUCUCUUGAUUACGUGCACUGCCGCUGUGGUGGCUGGAGUUUGAGACCUGGGGGUCUACACCAGAAGCUGUAGUUCCUGAGGGAAAAUGUGGAGGUGGGAAAUAAACCCCCAAAUACAUCAGUUGUGCCUCCCCCAAACUUCUGCAGGCCAUUCUUUACUGGGUGAGUCGAUGGGGUUCUGGAGAGACGCUUUUGAUAAGAGUUCCCACAGGGGUUUGUCCCUUUUAACCUCGCUCAUGUUGAUCUUUUUUCCCCCCUGUGUAUUUUUCUGUAUAAAACAGGUAAAUGCUGAGGCACCUUAGCACAUUUCUCUCCCGGGUCAACAAACAGCACACCCAGAACUGUAUCUACCCCAUGAGUGUGGCAGAGACAGAUGCCUGCUCAAGUUUGACGUUGGCCUCCGUUGAGAAGCUGUGCUAAUUAUGAAGAGUGAUACAGAGGGCAUCAAGGCAGGGGACUGGCAGCCCGAAGCUCUCAGAAAGUGACUGACAAGUCCGAAAAGAAGCAG